CCUACGGGAGGCUGCAGUGGGGAAUAUUGGGCAAUGGGCGCAAGCCUGACCCAGCAACGCCGCGUGAAGGAAGAAGGCUUUCGGGUUGUACACUUCUUUUCUCAGGGACGAAGAAAGUGACGGUACCUGAGGAAUAAGCCACGGCUAACUACGUGCCAGCAGCCGCGGUAAGACGUAGGUGGCAAGCGUUAUCCGGAUUUACUGGGUGUAAAGGGCGUGUAGGCGGGGAAGCAAGUCGGAUGUGAAAACCACGGGCUCAACCUUUGGCCUGCAUUUGAAACUGUUUUUCUUGAGUACUGGAGAGGCAGACGGAAUUCCUGGUGUAGCGGUGAAAUGCGUAGAUAUUAGGAGGAACACCAGUGGCGAAGGCGGUCUGCUGGACAGCAACUGACGCUGAGGCGCGAAAGCGUGGGGAGCAAACAGGAUUAGAUACCCCUGUAGUC
rnacentral:rRNA from 1 species